rnacentral:rRNA from 1 species
AUUGAACGCUGGCGGAAUGCUUUACACAUGCAAGUCGAACGGCAGCACGGGGCAACCUGGUGGCGAGUGGCGAACGGGUGAGUAAUACAUCGGAACGUGCCCAGUCGUGGGGGAUAACGUAGCGAAAGCUACGCUAAUACCGCAUACGAUCUACGGAUGAAAGCGGGGGAUCGCAAGACCUCGCGCGAUUGGAGCGGCCGAUGGCAGAUGAGGUAGUUGGGGGGGUAAAGGCCUACCAAGCCGACGAUCUGUAGCUGGUCUGAGAGGACGACCAGCCACACUGAGACUGAGACACGGCCCACACUCCUACGGGAGGCAGCAGUGGGGAAUUUUGGACAAGGGGCGCAAGCCUGCUCCAGCCAUUCCGCGUGCAGGAUGAAGGCCUUCGGGUUGUAAACUGCUUUUGUACGGAACGAAACGGCUCUGGUUAAUACCCGGGGCUAAUGACGGUACCGUAAGAAUAAGCACCGGCUAACUACGUGCCAGCAGCCGCCGUAA